AUUUAUAUAUAUAAAAGAGUCAAAAUAAUAAAUUAACCUUUUUUAAAAAUUUGAAUUAUCUUUUCAAAGAAAUUACUAAGAUAUCAUUUAUAGAUCUUCAAUAAAUGAACUAUAAACGAUUAUUCGCUAUAACCUUUAUCAUGAUGGCCUUAUUAAGUGUUAUGGUUAAAGCAGAUAUUGAGGAGAAUACACCCACACCUAGAAUAGAUAGAUUGAGAACUAAAUGUCGUACUAUCGAAUGCUAUAAAGAUGGAUGUAAAUAUAUUCCAUGCAUUGACUAAAAAAAUUGAAUAAAUUAUUUUUUUGUAAAGUUUUACCAAAAAACCAUUCAAAUAAAAAAUAAUAUUAUUA